CAGGUUCGGCAGCCGAAGGGACUUUCGGCCGCCGAACCAGCUUGGGAGGCAGCUUUAGGCUGCCGAAGCCUGCCCCCGAAAGUUUGAGUUUCGGCUCUGUCCGAGACUUUCGGCCGCCGAAGGUGCCGCCGAACAUGCAUGAGUUUCGCCUCUGUCUGGGAGUUUCGGCCGCCGAAGGUGCCGCCGAACCUGCCUGACUUUCGGCUCUG
rnacentral:lncRNA from 1 species